rnacentral:rRNA from 1 species
AAUAUUCCACAAUGGAGGAAACUCUGAUGCAGCGACGCCGCGUGAACGAUGAAGGNCUNNGGGUCNUNAAGUUCUGUCCUUGGNNNNNAUAAUGACGGUCCCCAAGGAGGAAUCCCCGGCUAACUACGUGCCAGCAGCCGCGGUAAUACGUAGGGGGCGAGCGUUGUCCGGAAUUAUUGGGCGUAAAGGGGUCGCAGGCGGUCCUUUAAGGCAGAUGUGAAAGCCCACGGCUCAACCGUGGUAAGCAUUUGAAACUGAAGGAAUUGAGUUAAGGAGAGGAAAGUGGAAUUCCUAGUGUAGCGGUGAAAUGCGUAGAUAUUAGGAGGAAUACCAGUGGCGAAGGCGACUUUCUGGACUUAUACUGACGCUGAGGAACGAAAGCGUGGGGAGCAAACAG